rnacentral:sRNA from 1 species
GCUUUCAACAUCCCCGUUCCGGUAAAGACGCUGUGGGUUGCGGAAGAUCGCAAUGCAUGGCGCGUCCGGAGCUGAAAGC